rnacentral:pre_miRNA from 1 species
AGUGGGAUAGCUGGGUCAAAUGGUGGUUCCAUUUCAAGUUUUUUUAAGGAAUCUCCUUACUGCUUUCCAGAUUAGUUGCACCAAUUUACAGUCCCACCAGCAAU